CUCAGGAUGAACGCUAGCGGCAGGCUUAACACAUGCAAGUCGAGGGGCAGCGAGAUGUAGCAAUACAUUGUCGGCGACCGGCGCACGGGUGCGUAACGCGUAUGCAACCUACCAUAUACAGGAGGAUAACCAUUCGAAAGAAUGACUAAUACUCCAUAGUAUAUUUUGAGGCAUCUUAGAAUAAUUAAAGAAUUUCGGUAUAUGCUGGGCAUGCGUGACAUUAGCUAGUUGGAGAGGUAACGGCUCACCAAGGCUACGAUGUCUAGGGGUUUUGAGAGGAAGAUCCCCCACACUGGUACUGAGACACGGACCAGACUCCUACGGGAGGCAGCAGUGAGGAAUAUUGGUCAAUGGACGGAAGUCUGAACCAGCCAUGCCGCGUGAAAAGGAAGACUGCCCUAUGGGUUGUAAACUUCUUUUAUACGGGGAUAAACCUAUCUUUGCGAAGAUAGCUGAAGGUACCGUAUGAAUAAGCAUCGGCUAACUCCGUGCCAGCAGCGGC
rnacentral:rRNA from 1 species